AUCCAGCUGACGAGUCCUAAAUAGGACUAAACAUGCGUCCUGGAU
rfam:Schistosoma mansoni strain Puerto Rico chromosome W, complete genome